AUGAGAAAAAAUUCAUCGUUUUCGUAAUGAUAACUCUUUUUCAUUUCAUUUUAUCUAACUAUUUCAUGUAAUAAUAAUAGCAUAUCACAGUAACCUUGUAUUAAAAUUUCUUAAAAUUCUCCACAAUAAGAAUUUGAUAAGAAAUUAUACAUUAUUAUUAUUAUCAUUAUAUUCUCAUAUUGGCAAAUUUUAAGAACCUAAAAGAAAAGAAUAGUACAUUUUGUUUCCAUUAUCUACACUACAAUUUAUGUUUCGGUAAAAUAAAUGGAACAAACUUUUUAGAUUCGUUUUGAGAUGCACAACAAGGUAAUUAUAUAAAAUUAACUCUUUGUUAAUAUUAAACUUCGAUAUGUUUAAAAUGAUGAUGUUAUCUUAUAUUUUAUUCAGAUAGGUUGUGCGCUAAGAGAAAAUCGAAGGGUGUCUUCGACAUCUCGUCGGAACGCGACUUUCUUCGACAGAGCAAACACAUUUCCGGCAUGUUCGAUAACGAAAAAGUAAAAGAGGGUUGAUGCGAGGGAGGAAUAGUGUAUGCAGAUGCGAGCCUAUAUCAAAAGUUCGCUUUCGUUGGGGUCCACGAAAAAGGAGACGAUGACAUGGCUGUGUCACGUAGACAUCACCGUGUAUUCGCAGAGCCACGAGAAGAAAAGCUGCGGAUAUUCCACGAAGAGAAAUAUACGCAGGAGGAAUAUACGUGCUCGCAAUUUUGUUCGCAGUUCGUUUUACAUAUUGUAUCAUCCGACUUGUUGCUACAGAGAGGCUGAAAUGGCAGGAAAAAGAACGAAGGAUCGCUGGUACAAGAUAGAGAGAAAGAGAGGGAGAGAGACACCAGAAAGGGGAGAAAGUGAGAAGGAAUAAGAUAACAGAAGACCUCGAAAUUCAUGACGGUUCGUGAUCCUUCAGCGGACUUUAGCAUAAUUAGAGCUUUGUUUAUUAUCGUCAGGCGAGCCGCGCAUUGUAUAAAAGCUCUCAAACUAACGCGAAUUAAUCUUUGCUAAGUGGAACCGAUGGAACCGACAUCCUCGUUUCUCUACCCUCACGCUAUUCUGUGAAGAUCUAGGAUGAUAGGUAGCUUCAGGAGAGACCGCGCCUUCGCUCUUUCACCUCCCCGUUCUGCUUCGCGAACUCCGCACUUCUAUCAUUAUCCCAUCCUCCCUUAACUAGCAUCUUUCAUUAAAGGAAGCCGCCACACCAUUGUGCCCAACUUGUACGACUCGAUAGACAAUGCGACUUUGUCGGAUUCCCGUAGCUGCCGUUCACGCUGCGUGCUCUCAGAUCCUCCCACGAAAUCCCUGGUUCUCCAUAAGCGCUAAUCCACGACGAAGGAAAUAUAUCCUGCAAACGCUAUCGCAACGAAGCGUUAGAAGUUCCAGGAUCAGUGAAAGCACAUCAUCAAUAGAUAUUGCUCCAUGGUUUAACGAGGGCAUCUAUAGUCAGUUCUCCAUCUGCUUUUCUUAAAAUAUCUCGUGAUUGGAGAGAACGGCGAUUAUUUCAAGUUCGCGAAAACUCAAUAUCGCGCGGAUACGUGCGAUUAAACGAAGCACAGAAACGUGUUGUACGUACGGACAUGAAAAAUACACAAACGUUUACAUCAGUAUCCGUUCCGUGGUAUGAUAAUGGAUGGUCACGCCUACCGCAUUAAUCCGACUAAAAACAAUUAGCUUGAUUGAUGGCUGCCCACGUUUCUCCUAUAGGGAUUAUUCGAGCAGCGCGAUUUUCCUCAUUAUAUUUAAAAUUGGCCGUCACGAAGAGGUUGUACAACGAGUUCAGCGCUAUCGCUAUAGUUUUUUGCCCACGAAAAGGAAAGAAACGUCGAGCGAUCACGAUAAAUCCGGAAUGUACGAGGGUGGCUCAAAUAUAAACCGGAAUGUCGUUACUGCGCACGUACACUUCAACAUAGAUUCAAUCAGCAGCACCGGUAGUUGAAGGGAAGUAACUGCAACGGUUGUAUGUCGUAUGCAUGCGCCGAAUGGUGUUUGGUCGGUGCUGAUCGAGAUGAGUGAGAUUCAUGUGUCUCUUGCGUAGAAAAUCUUUGUUACAACCACAAGCAGACAAGAAUCAUCAAUUAUGUAACUUUUCUUUUUCUUCUCUUUUAGAAGCGAUAUUGUAGCAGUCAGCAAAGUUAUCUAAAGCACCAGAUAUGAGGAAUCUGAUGUAUAUGUAUGCACGGUUCAAAAGACAUAGAUUUCAAGUUAUGUCAAAUAAAUAAGAUCAAAUUAUUGUUGAUCAAACUCCCUCUCCAGCAAAGUAUAAUCGCACAUUUUCUUUGACAAGUACGUGCUCGCUGUACGUUACUGCAUAGGAACACGAACCGAUUAAACUUCAAAUUGCGAUGGUUGGAUCAACUUGGUCAUCCUACUAGAUACAUCGUGGAACAUGAUACAUCUGCGCGCCGAACAAUCUAGUUUGACACUUCACUAGACAGUUAUCUGUCACUUGCACGUUUUUCCGAGCAGCUGUCGCUUGCUCGGAAGUUAAUUGAGUGAGUUCCGGUUGGUUAUUUCUGAAGCAAAAUUCAUGUGUCAAUAUGUCAAUUGAUUAGAAAUGAGAACACGAACAAUACGUUUUACAUUAAUGCAGCUUAUUCCGCAGGCAAAAUUAGUUUUUUUGUUUCGUCAGUUAAUUGUUGAUUUUACAUUACGAAAAUUCGAUUUUAUAAACGUUAGAGAAUACUUUAGGAAUCUAUUCUUUAACAAAUUUAAAAACAGAAUAACCAGAAGAGUCAAAAAUAAUACUGACAGAUACUUGCACACUUAUUUUGCUAACUUUUCACGUAGCAUUAUUAGAUGUAAAAUGUUUUUACAACAGCUUAUUAAUUUCGACUCGAAUCAGAUUGGAAGAAAUUACUCGUUUUAAAGGAAAUUUCGUUUCAUUGCUCACUGUCACAUUCCGUGCUCACUGCUCGGAUGGUUUCCUCCUAUUUUCUUUCUACCCAGUACCCGUUGUAAUUCAAACGUGAAUAUUGAUGUGACAGGACGAACAAAGGAUCUAUCAGUUUUACCUUACGAUCCUUUUUAAUUUCCGCCUUUUCUGUGACGCCGCAGUAACGAACGACGCAGCGAAAACUGCGGUGAACAAAAUGAGUUUUCGAAAAAAUCUGUGCAAGUUCAAAUACAGUGGUUUAAAUACAGACCGUAACAUUUCAAUCUCAGUAAAAUAUGAAAAGUUCAAUCAUUCUCAAA